rnacentral:tRNA from 1 species
CGAGGUGUGGCGCAGGUGGUAGCGCGCCUGCUUUGGGAGCAGGAAGUCGCAGGUUCGAAUCCUGUCACCUCGACCA